rnacentral:lncRNA from 1 species
GACGAAAGGGGGUGCGCGGACCGAGGGGGGCCUGGCGCGCCCCGCCGCCGUUCCGAGUUGGGGGGUUUCUGUGUUGUGGGUCCGGGAAGAAGCGAGCGUGGAAAGGUGCCGGGUUCUCGAACGCUGUUUCUGUCCACUGCCACCCUCCUCCCCGUUCUGGGAGUGGGAUUAAGUCGUGUCUGUGGGUCUGGCCAUCUCCGGAGUCUGCAGCUUGGGGCCGAUUCCUCGGUCUCUACCUCCUGUUGCAGUGAGAAUUAGAACUCACAAAAAUGAUCACUUUUUUGAAAGGUCCUUAAUCAUUCAACAGAGACAUAAUAACUUUAUUGGAUGGAGCAAUACUUCUUGCUAAUCAGCAUAUACACACCCAGUGACCUUGCAUGAAGAAGCAGCCUGUCUGCAGAAGAUUGCAUCUCAUCUAUACAAAGCAGGAGUGAUGUUGUCAAUGUGUGUGUGUGCAUGCAUUUAUGUAUCUGUAUGCUUGUGCAGAGAGGGGAAGAUGGGGGAGGGGAUGUGGCUUUGUUACUUAGCUUGCUUGAUUUUUAUCCACAGUUAUUAAGAGGUAAAACAUUGUAGCUCAACCCCUAGAAGUGGUCGUUUGCUUUACAGAGAGGAAAAUCUCUGCCCCCUUACCAUGGCUUGCAUUUCCAGCCCCAAAAGGCAAAAACAGGGAGCACGUAACUCAGUGGAAUCAAUAGCACGACCAGAAAGUCAAUUCAGUCAUAUGAUGGUGGAUCAGUAUCAUCAUUGUAAAGGAGAGGAGAUCACUGUACUGUCAGAUGCAUCACUCUGACUUUCCCCCAUCACUGUGGAAAAAGGAGGGAAAAAAGCCUUCAAUCAUAAUAGGAAAGGUAAACAGUUUUUCAAACUUACAAACAUAUGUACAUGUCUUCCUCUGUAUCAUUUCAUGUAUGUUGUUUUUAUGUAUGUACCUGUACAAAAAGAUGUAAAUAUCACUUAACCUUGAGUAAUAUAAUAAUACAUGUGAAUUCUAAUUUUAGUUCCACUAAGUAUUAAUAAUUAAUGGUAACUUCGUUGAGUGUGAGAAUUCCACAAGGUUGCGUUAGAAUUCUGAAUGACAUUUUGUUUUUGCUUUAUUGGGCUUUGAUAUGUCAGACAAGAGAAUUCAACUUUUCUCCUGUGUGAAUGAAUUCAAUAGUCUGUUGAGAGAGAUGCCAGUUUUUAGGUUGCAUCCACCAUUUUUAUUUUUAGCUCCAUCUGUUGUCUUUAAUCAAGUUGCUGUUAAAACUCUGAUAAAAUACUUGGUUUGUAGCAUUGGUAUUGUCCCCACCAGCUUCCCUAAAAUGAGCGCUCCGAUUCUAAUCCCCAAAGAUGUUUGAAUUUGUCUCCAGUUGACAUCCAAAAGUCUCAUCUUCCUGGAUUUCCUUCCUCCUCUUGCCCCCUCUGCCCUUUCCCACUAUCCCAGUUCCUAGCAUCUCCCUGACCCUUGGGUUAGAGCCCAGGGAGAUGGACCACUGAAUCCAACCUGGGAAAAUGACAGGAAGUACGUGCAUUCUUCAAAGUGAGGCAUUUGCUGUUAUUGAGCAUCUAUUUUAACAUAACUCAGAUGCAGUGGUAUUAAUUUGUAUAUGAAUAUUUCAUUUAAUAAUAAUGAUUGAGACUGUCCUCUAUAUCAGAGGUAAGCAUAUACAGUACAGCCUGUUCUUUAACUCCUUUUUCCUCACCUGACUCAAUUUUCUGUUGAUUAAAUGUUAGACUGAGAAUGAAAGUAUACUUGUUAGAUUUGGCUACUUAUUGAAAGCUGCAGUUUUGGCUAGGCAUAGUGUGGCUUAUACCUGUAAUCCCAGCACACUGGAAGGCUGAGGUGGGAGGAUGGCUUGAGACCAGGAGUUUGGGACCAGCCUGGGCAACAUAGCAAGACCCCGUCUCUACAAAAAAUGAAAAAUAAAAAAAUGAAAA